rnacentral:rRNA from 1 species
UGGGGAAUUUUGGACAAUGGGCGAAAGCCUGAUCCAGCAAUGCCGCGUGUGUGAAGAAGGCCUUCGGGUUGUAAAGCACUUUUGUCCGGAAAGAAAUCCUUGGCUCUAAUACAGUCGGGGGAUGACGGUACCGGAAGAAUAAGCACCGGCUAACUACGUGCCAGCAGCCGCGGUAAUACGUAGGGUGCAAGCGUUAAUCGGAAUUACUGGGCGUAAAGCGUGCGCAGGCGGUUUGCUAAGACCGAUGUGAAAUCCCCGGGCUCAACCUGGGAACUGCAUUGGUGACUGGCAGGCUAGAGUAUGGCAGAGGGGGGUAGGAAUUCCACGUGUAGCAGUGAAAUGCGUAGAGAUGUGGAGGAAUACCGAUGGCGAAGGCAGCCCCCUGGGCCAAUACUGACGCUCAUGCACGAAAGCGUGGGGAGCAAACAGGAUUAGAUACCCUGGUAGUCCACGCCCUAAAACGAUGUCAACUAGUUGUUGGGGAUUCAUUUCCUUAGUAACGUAGCUAACGCGUGAAGUUGACCGCCUGGGGAGUACGGUCG